rnacentral:rRNA from 1 species
CACGUAGGGGGCGAGCGUUGUCCGGAUUUAUUGGGCGUAAAGAGCUCGUAGGCGGCUCAGUAAGUCAGGUGUGAAAACUCCAGGCUCAACCUGGAGACGCCACUUGAUACUGCUGUGGCUAGAGUCCGGUAGGGGAGCAUGGAAUUCCUGGUGUAGCGGUGAAAUGCGUAGAUAUCGGGAGGAACACCAGUGGCGAAGGCGAGUCUCUGGACACUUCCUGACGCUGAGGCACGAAAGCCAGGGGAGCAAACGGG